ACCCAGAGAUGGAAAGGGACAGACAACACCGAGAUAUUUAGAGUUGACGGGAGCUGUAAAAAAAACAUCCUUUGAUUUACAUUCGUAAUAUAAAUAGGUCUUUCAUUCCUCUUUUGUUUGCAGUGCUAUUAAUAUCCCUAUACACUGAGUAGCUUCCAACAUUUAUUUGCUGUUGCUGAUCUGCAUGGAAUGUUUAACUUCUUUGGGACUGGGGGGCAGUAUUGAGUAGCUUGGAUAAAAAAGGUGCCCAGAGUAAACUGCCUGCUACUCAGCCAUAAAAACUAGAAUAUGCAUACAAUUAGUAGAUUUGGAUAGACAACACUCUAAAGUUUCUAAAACUGUUUGAAUGAUGUCUGUGAGUAUAACAGAACUCAUAUGACAGACAAAAACCUGAGAAAAAUCCAACCAGGAAGUGGGAAAUCUGAGGUUUGUAGUUCAACUAUUUGCCUAUUGACUAUAUAGUGUCUAUGGGGUCAUAUUGCACUUCCUAAGGCUUCCACUAGACGUCAACAGUCUUUAGAACCUUGUUUGAUGCUUCUACUGUGAAGGAGGGGGGAAUGGUAGCUGAAUGAGUCAGAGGUCUGCCAGAGUGGCAUGAGCUGAUCACGCACGCUCACGUGAGAGCGACCUGCGUUCCACUGCAAUUCUACAGACAAAGGAAUUCUCUGGUUGAAACAUUAAUGAAGAUUUAUGAUAAAAACAUCCUAAAGAUUGAUUCUAUACUUCGUUUGACAUGUUUCUAUGAACUGUAAUAUGACUUUUCAUCUGAACUUUCACCUGGACUUGCUCGGGCCUCAUGAGUUUGGAUUGUGUACUAAACGCGCGAGAAAAAAAAGGAGGUAUUUGGACAUAAAUAAUGGACAUUAUCGAACAAAACAAACAUUUAUUGUGGAACUGGGAUUGCUGGGAGUGCAUUCUGAUGAAGAUCAACAAAGUUAAGUGAAUAUUUAUAAUGCUAUUUCUGACUUCUGUUGACUCCACAACAUGGCAGAUAUCUGUAUGGCUUGUUUUGUGUCUGAGGGCUGUACUCAGAUUAUUGCAUGGUUUGAUUUUUCCGUAAAGUUUUUUUGAAAUCUGACACAGCGGUUGCAUUAAGGAGAAGUGUAUCUAUAAUUCCGGGCAUAAUAGUUGUGUCUUUCAUCAAUGUUUAUUAUGAGUAUUUCUGUAAAUUGAUGUGGCUCUCUGCAAAAUCACUGGAUGCUUCGGAACUACUGGAAAUAACGUGACAAUGUAAACUGACAUUUUUGGAUAUAAAUAUGAACUUUAUCGAACAAAACAUACAUGUAGUGUGUAACAUGAGGUCCUAUGAGUGUCAUCUGAUGAAGAUCCUCAAAGGUUAGUGAUUCAUUUUAUCACUAUUUCUGCUUUUUGUGACUCCUCUCUUUGGCUGGAAAAAUGGCUGUGUUUUUCUGUGACUUGGCUCUGACCUAAACACAAUCGUUUGGAUUGCUUUCGCAGUAGAGCCUAUUUGAAAUUGUACACUGUGGCUGGAUUUACAACACGUUUAUCUUUAAAAUGGUUUAAAAUACUUGUAUGUUUGAGGAAUUUUAAUUUUGGGAUUUCUGUUGUUUUGAAUUUGGCGCCAUGCAAUUUCACUGGCUGUUGGCGAGGUAGGACGCUACCGUCCCACAUAUCCCAGAGAAGUUAACAGCCUCAAAAAACAUGUAGAUAUUUACAGAAGAAGGAAUCUAAACCGUAACACAUGCAGUUAGAUAGAUAUUAAGGGUUUGGCUCAAUUUCAUAUACAUUUAGGAAGAAGUAAAUUCAAAUUUUUGAAUUGCAAAUUUCAGUUUAUUUCCUGUGAGGUAAAUAUUGAGAUAGAUCAGAGGAGGACAGAUCAGAGGACGGUCUGACAGACACGGCCAGACUGACCGAGGUUAUUGAGAUAGAUCAGAAGAGGACGAUCAGACAGACACGGCCAGACUGACCGAGGUUAUUGAGAUAGAUCAGAAGAGGACGAUCAGACAGACACGGCCAGACUGACCAAGGUUAUUGAGAUAGAUCAGAAGAGGACGGUCUGACAGACACGGCCAGACUGACAGAGGUUAUUGAGAUAGAUCAGAAGAGGACGGUCUGACAGACACGGCCAGACUGACAGAGGUUAUUGAGAUAGAUCAGAAGAGGACGGUCUGACAGACACGGCCAGACUGACAGAGGUUAUUGAGAUAGAUCAGAAGAGGACGAUCUGACAGAAAGAGCCAGACUGACAGAGGUUAUUGAGAUAGAUCAGAAGAGGACGAUCAGACAGACACAGCCAGACUGACAGAGGUUAUUGAGAUAGGUCAGAAUAGGACGGUCUGACAGACACGGCCAGACUGACAGAGGUUAUUGAGAUAGAUCAGAAGAGGACGGUCUGACAGACACGGCCAGACUGACAGAGGUUAUUGAGAUAGAUCAGAAGAGGACGGUCUGACAGACACGGCCAGACUGACAGAGGUUAUUGAGAUAGAUCAGAAGAGGACGAUCUGACAGACACAGCCAGACUGACAGAGGUUAUUGAGAUAGAUCAGAAGAGGACGAUCUGACAGACACAGCCAGACUGACAGAGGUUAUUGAGAUAGAUCAGAAGAGGACGAUCAGACAGACACAGCCAGACUGACAGAGGUUAUUGAGAUAGGUCAGAAUAGGACGGUCUGACAGACACGGCCAGACUGACAGAGGUUAUUGAGAUAGAUCAGAAGAGGACGGUCUGACAGACACGGCCAGACUGACAGAGGUUAUUGAGAUAGAUCAGAAGAGGACGAUCUGACAGACACGGCCAGACUGACAGAGGUUAUUGAGAUCAGAGGAGGACGGUCAGACAGACACGGCCAGACUGACAGAGGUUAUUAAGAUAGAUCAGAAGAGGACGGUCAGACAGACACGG